CAAAAGCCAAUGAAUUUCAAUGGCUUGGCAAUAAAUGCAAGGAUCCUGCACACGAUAAUUGAUAUCAAUAUGACCAAACUGUGAUCAGCUGCUGCAACACCCUUUUCUUCCUCGUCUGAGCUAUCCAAGAACUUGAUACCACUUCUAGUGUCAUGGAACACCAAGAACUUGAACAAGUUCCAUAUCCCUCCCUUCUGUGGAUUCACUAUCAGGUACUUCACUCCAUUAUUCCCACCAUAUUUUUUUCUAUCAACAUGGUCAUAAUCAUGGCUGUUAUUCUGUUCAAGAUUUGGUUCAAUGGUAGCCAUGAAUGGAAAGUUCACUCUCUUCACUCUUAUUUCUCAGGAACCCUUUGUAUUUAAUAAUUUGUUUAGGAUUAGUUGGAGUCGAACUGGAUUGAGAAAAUAGGUUGGGCCAGCUUCCGCCUCAAACUUGAGGAUCGCCAAGAAGUGAAGAA
rnacentral:misc_RNA from 1 species